CUUAGUCCAAUCCCAUUUCUUGCAGGCCC
rnacentral:piRNA from 1 species